GGGCGGAUAGCUCAGCGGGAGAGCACCUGUCUUACACGCAGGGGGUCAGGCGUUCAAAUCGCCUUCCGCCCA
rnacentral:tRNA from 1 species